rnacentral:rRNA from 1 species
GACGAACGCUGGCGGCGUGCCUUAUACAUGCAAGUCGAGCGGAUCAUUUUGAGGAGCUUGCUCCUUAAGAUGGUUAGCGGCGGACGGGUGAGCAACACGUAGGCAACCUGCCCAUAAGACCGGGAUAACAUUCGGAAACGAAUGCUAAGACCGGAUACGCAGUUUCUUCGCAUGAAGGGACUGGGAAACACGGAGCAAUCUGUGGCUUAUGGAUGGGCCUGCGGCGCAUUAGCUAGUUGGUGAGGUAACGGCCCACCAAGGCGACGAUGCGUAGCCGACCUGAGAGGGUGAACGGCCACACUGGGACUGAGACACGGCCCAGACUCCUACGGGAGGCAGCAGUAGGGAAUCUUCCACAAUGGGCGAAAGCCUGAUGGAGCAACGCCGCGUGAGUGAGGAAGGCUUUCGGGUCGUAAAGCUCUGUUGCCAGGGAAGAACGCCUAGGAGAGUAACUGCUCUUAGGGUGACGGUACCUGAGAAGAAAGCCCCGGCUAACUACGUGCCAGCCGCCGCCGUAAAAC